AACGAACGCUGGCGGCAGGCCUAACACAUGCAAGUCGAGCGCCCCGCCAGGGGAGCGGCGGACGGGUGAGUAACGCGUGGGAACGUACCCUUUGCUACGGAAUAGCCUCGGGAAACUGGGAGUAAUACCGUAUGUGUCCUUCGGGAGAAAGAUUUAUCGGCAAGGGAUCGGCCCGCGUUGGAUUAGGUAGUUGGUGGGGUAAUGGCCUACCAAGCCGACGAUCCAUAGCUGGUUUGGGAGGAUGAUCAGCCACACUGGGACUGAGACACGGCCCAGACUCCUACGGGAGGCAGCAGUGGGGAAUAUUAGACAAUGGGCGCAAGCCUGAUCUAGCCAUGCCGCGUGAGCGAUGAAGGCCUUAGGGUUGUAAAGCUCUUUCAGGGGGGAAGAUAAUGACUGUACCCCCAGAAGAAGCCCCGGCUAACUCCGUG
rnacentral:rRNA from 1 species